GCGGAGGGGAGAGGGGCUGCGGGCUGAGCGGCCGAGGGUUUAACCAGUCCUGCCUGAUGGCACCUCCAUGAGAAAGCCAAAAUACAAGGACUGUGAGAGCUUCCGGGUGGGGAGCACGCCCGCAGGUUGGGAGGCAGCUGCCCCCCAAAGUCCACAGAGACUGAAGCCCCAGCACUCGGGACCCUCCUGGACCUCGUCAUCUGGAGAAUCACCCCCGUCUUCAGCAUAAACGAUCCCACACAGAAGUGACGGCCUACCGGAUCUGUCGUCCUCUGCCUGCCUGCCUUUGCGUUGGAGGGGCCUCCAGACGCUGCAUCCACUAUGAAGGUGGUCGAUCGACUGCAGAAGCCAUCGGCUCCGCUGAGCUGUUCAGGGAGAGAAGGUCAAACGCUGGGGUCAGACCUCAGGGAGCGUCUCCACUCAGGCUGUGGGAGGAAAAGGCUGUGGAGACAGGAGAAAGGAAGGCACUGACUUUUUAAAAUUAUUUUUUCAUGGUUCUGCACACACACCUGGGAGACGGGUCCACCCUGCCGCAGAGAAGGGAGUCAGGUGCUCAUCUGGCCUCGACGGGGACCUGGGACAUAAGCCAGCCAGCAAACAUCAGGAUGUCCGUGAAGGGAAAAGGUACCACACGUCGGAAGAGCUGGGUUCCCCCGUGCUCCGUAUUCACGCCAGGAAGACACAGGCGUCCUGUCCGCACUGUGGCCAGACGAUGUCACCGGGAAGGGGAACUGUGACACGCCGCUGCACUGGUGAGAUCUGGGGUGAUUUCACGUCCCCAGGGAGUCCCCGGGAUCCAUGACACUGCGUGGGAGGUCCCCUGAGGCCGGCGGGGAGGCGGGAAUGGCUUCUUACGUACGAACACCGUUGAAUCCUUAACUGGCGCAAGGCUGUCCGUCUUGCCUGACGGCCUCACUGCUCGCCGCAUCUGAGUCCCUCGAUCCUGCUGAGAGAAUGUUCAAGAAUCAGUACCUCAGACCGUGUCACUGCUGGACUUUCUCCCGCCCGCCCCCUACACCCGCCAGAACGUGGGGACCGGGACUACGGGCACUAGAAGAAUGACACUUCGUUUCACUGCUUUGCUGCCUUGAGCGCCCGGGAGCAGACAGGGCUGGCUUUUACGUCACGGCUGUUUUUCAGUGACUUCGGGGAGACAGAUGGCCACUUCUAAGUAGCUGACUGCUUUCACAUAGUUCGUAGAGAGAGAUUCCGCGACAGAAAUCGCCUGCUGUUUCUAUCAGCGAGCACAGAGCUGUCCUGGCUGGCUCAGAGGCCCCGGGGAGGCAGGCCUGCGCGUCUCCAGGGGCGUCUGGCGGAACCUCGCUAUCUGGCGACAGUGACUAAAGUUGGAAGUAACUGUCUGAGUGCACGACCGCCCUGCACAUGCAUGUGCAUGCACACACACACAGAAACACACGCAUGCAAACAGACUCAUACAGACACAGACACACACACCUUUAGUCUAAUUUCAGAAGAAUCCAGAAACCAGCAUCCUACCCUCCUUUUAAACAAGUUCAAAACCUACACAAGAUUUCUCUCUGUCCUCCCAGUUUUUAAAUGAAAACACACCUGGCCGUUACCAAAGCACGUUCAGAUGCACGUCUGGUAUCUGAGUCUCACCCCCUGGGAUCUAAGUUAUACACACACUUGGGUGUACACACACACACACGUCCUUGAGUGCAUGUGUAUGUACUUGGGCGUUUAUCUAAAAGUGUAUGUAUGUAAUAAACAGACAUAAAAUGCUG